UCCAAGCCAACAAGGCUACACUGGUGUGUCU
rnacentral:piRNA from 1 species